AGUGAACGCUGGCGGUAGGCCUAACACAUGCCAGUCGAACGGCAGCACAGUAAGAGCUUGCUCUUACGGGUGGCGAGUGGCGGACGGGUGAUGAAUACAUCGGAAUCUACUUUUUCGUGGGGGAUAACGUAGGGAAACUUACGCUAAUACCGCAUACGCCCUACGGGUGAAAGCAGGGGAUCUUCGGACCUUGCGCGAUUGAAUGCGCCGAUGUCGUAUUAGCUAGUUGGCGGGGUAAAGGCCCACCAAGGCGACGAUCCGUAGCUGGUCUGAGAGGAUGAUCAGCCACACUGGAAGUGAGACACGGUCCAGAGUCCUACGGGAGGCAGCAGUGGGGAAUAGUGGACAAUGGGCGCAAGCAUGAUCCAGCCAUACCGCGUGGGUGAAGAAGGCCUUCGGGUUGUAAAGCCCUUUUGUGGGGAAAGAAAAGCAGCAGGUUAAUACCCCGCUGUUCUGACGGUACCCAAAGAAUAAGCACCGGCUAACUUCGUG
rnacentral:rRNA from 1 species